rnacentral:rRNA from 1 species
GUAGGGAAUAUUGGGCAAUGGAGGCAACUCUGACCCAGCCAUGCCGCGUGCAGGAUGACGGCCCUCUGGGUUGUAAACUGCUUUUAUACGGGAAGAAAAAAUACUACGUGUAGUAUACUGACGGUACCGUAAGAAUAAUGAUCGGCUAACUCCGUGCCAGCAGCCGCGGUAAUACGGAGGAUCCAAGCGUUGUCCGGAUUUAUUGGGUUUAAAGGGUGAGUAGGCGGAUCUUUAAGUCAGUGGUGAAAGCCUGCAGCUUAACUGUAGAAUUGCCAUUGAAACUGAAGAUCUUGAAUGUGGUUAAAGUAGGCGGAAUGUAUCAUGUAGCAGUGAAAUGCUUAGAUAUGAUACAGAACACCGAUAGCGAAGGCAGCUUGCUGAACCAUUAUUGACGCUGAGGCACGAAAGCGUGGGGAGCGAACAGGAUUAGAUACCCCUGUAGUCC